rnacentral:rRNA from 1 species
UACGAAGGGGGCUAGCGUUGCUCGGAAUCACUGGGCGUAAAGGGUGCGUAGGCGGGUCUUUAAGUCAGGGGUGAAAUCCUGGAGCUCAACUCCAGAACUGCCUUUGAUACUGAGGAUCUUGAGUCCGGGAGAGGUGAGUGGAACUGCGAGUGUAGAGGUGAAAUUCGUAGAUAUUCGCAAGAACACCAGUGGCGAAGGCGGCUCACUGACCCGGUACUGACGCUGAGGCACGAAAGCGUGGGGAGCAAACAGG